GGGGCCCAUGAAGAAGAUUUCUCCCACUUGUGUUUGAGUUUUCUAACCAUGAGAUGACUUCACAUGCACUACCAUCUGAGGCCAC
rnacentral:snoRNA from 1 species